rnacentral:rRNA from 1 species
AGAGUUUGAUUCUGGCUCAGGAUGAACGCUAGCUACAGGCUUAACACAUGCAAGUCGAGGGGCAGCGAGAAGAAAGCUUGCUUCUUGUCGGCGACCGGCGCACGGGUGAGUAACGCGUAUCCAACCUCCCCUUAGUAGGGCAUAGCCCGUAGAAAUGCGGAUUAAUACCCUAUGUUGUUCGAUGCGGACAUCUAAGUUGAACCAAAGGUUUACCGCUAAGGGAUGGGGAUGCGUCUGAUUAGGCAGCAGGCGGGUAACGGCCCACCUGGCCUACGAUCAGUAGGGGUUCUGAGAGGAAGGUCCCCCACAUUGGAACUGAGACACGGUCCAAACUCCUACGGGAGGCAGCAGUGAGGAAUAUUGGUCAAUGGGCGAGAGCCUGAACCAGCCAAGUAGCGUGACCAGGAUGACCGGCCCUAGUGGGUUAGUAAACUGUCUUUUAUGCGGGGAUAAAGUGAGGGACGUGUCCCUUAUUGUAGGUACCGCAUGAAUAAGGACCGGCUAAUUCCGUGCCAGCAGCCGC